GACGAACGCUGGCGGCGUGCCUAAUACAUGCAAGUAGGACGCAGUUGCGACCGGGUGAGUAACGCGUAGGUAACUACCUAUUAGAGGGGGAUAACUAUUGGAACCGAUAGCUAAUACCGCAUACUAGUAGAUGGACCUGCGUUGUAUUAGGUAGUAGGUAGGUUAAUGGCCUACCUAGGAAAAGAGACAUAGCCGACCUGGUAGGGGGAUCGGACACACUGGGACUGAGACACGGCCCGGACCCCUACGGGAGGCAGCAGUAGGGAAUCUUCGGCAAUGGGGGGAACCCUGACCGAGCAACGCGGCGUGAGUGAAGAAGGUUUUCGGAUCGUAAAGCUCUGUUGUUAAGGAAGCGGUACUUAACCAGAAAGGGACGGCUAACUACGUGCCAGCAGCCGCGGUAAUAC
rnacentral:rRNA from 1 species